rnacentral:rRNA from 1 species
ACGAACGCUGGCGGCGUGCCUAAUACAUGCAAGUCGAACGGUCUUUCUAUGGAAGCUUGCUUCCACUGAGAAGAUAGUGGCGAACGGGUGAGUAACAACGUGGGUAACCUGCCCAUAAGAGGGGGAGUAACAUCCGGAAACGGGUGCUAAUACCGCAUAGUUUUCUUGAUCGCAUGAUUGAGAAAGGAAAGACGGCCUUUGUGCUGUCGCUUAUGGAUGGACCCGCGGCGUAUUAGUUAGUUGGUGAGGUAACGGCUCACCAAGACGAUGAUACGUAGCCGACCUGAGAGGGUGAUCGGCCACAUUGGGACUGAGACACGGCCCAAACUCCUACGGGAGGCAGCAGUAGGGAAUCUUCCGCAAUGGACGAAAGUCUGACGGAGCAACGCCGCGUGAGUGAAGAAGGUUUUCGGAAUCGUAAAACUCUGUUGUCAGAGAAGAACAAGUUGGAGAGUAACUGCUCCAGCCUUGACGGUAUCUGACCAGAAAGCCACGGCUAACUACGUGCCAGCAGCAGC